rnacentral:rRNA from 1 species
UACGUAGGGGGCAAGCGUUGUCCGGAUUUAUUGGGCGUAAAGAGCGUGUAGGCGGCCAGGUAGGUCCGCUGUGAAAACUCGAGGCUCAACCUCGAGAUGUCGGCGGAAACCAUCUGGCUAGAGUCCGGAAGAGGAGAGUGGAAUUCCUGGUGUAGCGGUGAAAUGCGCAGAUAUCAGGAAGAACACCAACGGCGAAGGCAGCUCGCUAGGACGGUACUGACGCUGAGACGCGAAAGCGUGGGGAGCGAACAGG